rnacentral:rRNA from 1 species
UACGGAGGGGGCUAGCGUUGUUCGGAAUUACUGGGCGUAAAGCGUACGUAGGCGGCCCUGUAAGUUAGAGGUGAAAGCCCGGAGCUCAACUUCGGAAUUGCCUUUAAGACUGCAUCGCUAGAAUUGUGGAGAGGUAAGUGGAAUUCCGAGUGUAGAGGUGAAAUUCGUAGAUAUUCGGAAGAACACCAGUGGCGAAGGCGACUUACUGGACACAUAUUGACGCUGAGGUGCGAAAGCGUGGGGAGCAAACAGG